GGCGGAAUGCUUUACACAUGCAAGUCGAACGGCAGCACGGACUUCGGUCUGGUGGCGAGUGGCGAACGGGUGAGUAAUAUAUCGGAACGUAUCCAAUAAUGGGGGAUAACUAAUCGAAAGGUUGGCUAAUACCGCAUACGCCCUACGGGGGAAAGCUAGGGAUCUUCGGACCUGGCGUUAAUGGAGCGGCCGAUAUCUGAUUAGCUAGUUGGUGGGGUAAAGGCCCACCAAGGCGACGAUCAGUAGCUGGUCUGAGAGGACGACCAGCCACACUGGAACUGAGACACGGUCCAGACUCCUACGGGAGGCAGCAGUGGGGAAUUUUGGACAAUGGGCGCAAGCCUGAUCCAGCCAUUCCGCGUGAGUGAAGAAGGCCUUCGGGUUGUAAAGCUCUUUCGCAAGGGAAGAAAACUUAUUCUCUAACAUAGGAUGAGGUUGACGGUACCUUGAUAAGAAGCACCGGCUAACUACGUGCCAGCAGCCGCGGUAAUACGUAGGGUGCGAGCGUUAAUCGGAAUUACUGGGCGUAAAGCGUGCGCAGGCGGUUUUGUAAGUCAGAUGUGAAAUCCCCGAGCUCAACUUGGGAACUGCGUUUGAAACUAUAAGACUAGAAUAUGUCAGAGGGGGGUAGAAUUCCACGUGUAGCAGUGAAAUGCGUAGAGAUGUGGAGGAAUACCAAUGGCGAAGGCAGCCCCCUGGGAUAAUAUUGACGCUCAUGCACGAAAGCGUGGGGAGCAAACAGGAUUAGAUACCCUGGUAGUCCACGCCCUAAACGAUGUCUACUAGUUGUUGGUGGAGUAAAAUCCAUGAGUAACGCAGCUAACGCGUGAAGUAGACCGCCUGGGGAGUACGGUCGCAAGAUUA
rnacentral:rRNA from 1 species